rnacentral:rRNA from 1 species
UACGGAGGGUGCAAGCGUUGUCCGGAAUCACUGGGCGUAAGGGCGCGUAGGCGGCUCAUGAAGGCUGUGGUGAAAGUCCGGGGCUCAACCUCGGAUCGGCCGUGGCGACUCGUGGGCUGGAGCACUGUAGAGGCGGGUGGAAUUCCGGGUGUAGCGGUGGAAUGCGUAGAGAUCCGGAAGAACACCGAUGGCGAAGGCAGCCAUCUGGACCGGCACUGACGCUGAGGCGCGAAAGCGUGGGGAGCAAACAGG